rnacentral:lncRNA from 10 species
GGUGAGGAGUUUGUGACCAGCCUGGCCAACAUGGUGAAAUCCCAUCUCUACUAAAAAUACAAAAAUUAGUCAGGCAUGGUGGCUCGCGCCUGUAAUCCCAGCUACUUGGGAGACUAAAGCAGGAGAAUCACUUGAACCCGGGAAGUGGAGGUUGCAGUGAGCAGAGAUCACACCACUGCACUUCAGCUUGGGUGACAGAGCCAGACUCCAUCUCCAUCUCAAAAAACAAAAACAAAACAAAAAGAAAAAACAGACAG